rnacentral:rRNA from 1 species
AAUCGAACCCGGAGAUAGCUGGUUCUCCUCGAAAUAGCUUUAGGGCUAGCCUCGCAUUAGUUUACCGGAGGUAGAGCACUGAAUGGUCUAGGGGGCCUCACCGCCUACCGAAACCUAUCAAACUGCGAAUGCCGGAUAAAUGAUGUGCGGGAGUCAGGCCGCGAGAGAUAAGUUCCGCGGUCAAAAGGGGAACACCCCAGAUCGUCUGCUAAGGUCCCCAAGUACGCGUUAAGUGGGAAAGGAUGUUGGAUUGCACAGACAACCAGGAUGUUGGCUUAGAAGCAGCCACACAUUCAAAGAGUGCGUAAUAGCUCACUGGUCGAGUGAUCCAGCGCCGAAAAUGUAACGGGGCUAAAACGCGACACCGAAGCAGCGGGAUGCGUAAGCAUCGGUAGAGGAGCAUUGUGUGAGGGUCGAAGCCAGAGCGGGAGCACUGGUGGACUUCACAGAAGAGAGAAUGCCGGUAUGAGUAGCGAGACCCAUGCGAGAAACAUGGGCGUCGAAGGCCCAAGGUUUCCUGGGGAAGGUUCAUCCACCCAGGGUAAGUCGGGACCUAAGCCGAGGACUGAGGUCGUAGGCGAUGGACAGCAGGUAGAGAUUCCUGCACCACUUACACUUGUUUGACGAAGCAGUGACACAGAAGGAUAGGACGAGCGCGGUGAUGGUCAACCGCGUAGGCGGCACGAGGCCGGGAAGCAGUGAAGUACACUUCCCGCAAAGGCUGAGUGCUGACAGGACCGAAAAGAAGUAGGGAAGCGUCCGAGUUCACGCUGGCGAGAAAAGCUGCUAAGGAGAGUGUGAGUGCCCGUACCGGAAACCGACGCAGGUGGGCGAGGAGAGAAUCCUGAGACGGACGGGAGAACUCUUGUUAAGGAACUCGGCAAAAUGACCCCGUAACUUCGGGAGAAGGGGUGCCUCGAAAGAGGCCGCAGAGAAUAGUCACAAGCGACUGUUUAGCAAAAACACAGGUAUCUGCGAAAGCGAGAGCUGACGUAUAGGUGCUGACGCCUGCCCGGUGCUGGAAGGUUAAGGGGAAGUGUUAGGGGAAACCCGAAGCAGAGAACCGAAGCCCCAGUAAACGGCGGCCGUAACUAUAACGGUCCUAAGGUAGCGAAAUUCCUUGUCGGGUAAGUUCCGACCCGCACGAAUGGCGUAACGACUUGUGAGCUGUCUCAACAGGAGGCCCGGUGAAAUUGAAGUAUGUGUGAAGAUGCACAUUACCCGCGACUGGACGGAAAGACCCCGUAGAGCUUUACUGUAACCUGACAUUGGAUCUUGAUAACGGAUGCACAGGAUAGGUGGGACGCUGGGAGACGAGGACUUUGGUUUUCGUGGAGCGGCCGUUGGGAUACCACUCUUCUGUUAUUGAGAUUCUAACCUCAAGCCGUGAGCCGGAUGAGAGACAGUGUCAGGCGGACAGUUUGACUGGGGCGGUCGCCUCCGAAAGCGUAACGGAGGCGCCCAAAGGUACCCUCAGAAUGGAUGGAAACCAUUCGAAGAGAGCAAAGUCAGAAGGGUGCUUGACUGCGAGACCAACAAGUCGAGCAGGUACGAAAGUAGGGCUUAGUGAUCCGGCGGUAAGAGAGUGGAAUUGCCGUCGCUCAACGGAUAAAAGCUACCUCGGGGAUAACAGGCUGAUCUCCCCCAAGAGUCCACAUCGACGGGGAGGUUUGGCACCUCGAUGUCGGCUCAUCGCAUCCUGGGGCUGUAGUCGGUCCCAAGGGUUGGGCUGUUCGCCCAUUAAAGCGGCACGCGAGCUGGGUUCAGAACGUCGUGAGACAGUUCGGUCCCUAUCCAUCGUGGGCGAAGGACACAUGAGAGGAGCUGCUCCUAGUACGAGAGGACCGGAGUGGACGCAUCACUGGUGCAACUGUUGUCGUGCCAACGGCACAGCAGGGAAGCGAAAUGCGGACGGGAUAAACGCUGAAGGCAUCUAAGCGUGAAGCCCACCUCAAGAAUAAGUGU